AACGAACGCUGGCGGCAUGCCUUACACAUGCAAGUCGAACGGCAGCACGGGAGCAAUCCUGGUGGCGAGUGGCGAACGGGUGAGUAAUGUAUCGGAACGUGCCCAGUCGUGGGGGAUAACGCAGCGAAAGCUGUGCUAAUACCGCAUACGAUCUAUGGAUGAAAGCGGGGGAUCGCAAGACCUCGCGCGAUUGGAGCGGCCGAUAUCCGAUUAGGUAGGUGGUGGGGUAAAGGCCCACCAAGCCGACGAUCGGUAGCUGGUCUGAGAGGACGACCAGCCACACUGGACCUGAGACACGGUCCAGACUCCUACGGGAGUCAGCAGUGGGGAAUUUUGGACAAUGGGCGCAAGCCUGAUCCAGCAAUGCCGCGUGCAGGAUGAAGGCCUUCGGGUUGUAAACUGCUUUUGUACGGUACGAAACGGUUCUCUCUAAUACAGGGGGCUAAUGACGGUACCGUAAGAAUAAGCACCGGCUAACUACGUGCCAGCCGCCGCGGUAA
rnacentral:rRNA from 1 species